GGGGAAUAUUGGACAAUGGGCGAAAGCCUGAUCCAGCAACGCCGCGUGGAGGAUGAAGGCCUUCGGGUUGUAAACUCCUGUUAGGGGGAACGAAAGGUCGCGGGUUAACAGCCGGCGACCCUGACGGUACCUCCAGAGGAAGCCCCGGCUAACUCUGUGCCAGCAGCCGCGGUAAUACAGAGGGGGCGAGCGUUAUUCGGAAUUAUUGGGCGUAAAGGGCGCGUAGGCGGCAAGGUAAGUCAAAGGUGAAAUCCCUCGGCUCAACUGAGGAACUGCCUUUGAAACUGCCUAGCUUGAGGCCGGGAGAGGGUAGUGGAAUUCCCAGUGUAGCGGUGAAAUGCGUAGAUACUGGGAGGAACACCAGUGGCGAAGGCGGCUACCUGGACCGGUUCUGACGCUGAUGCGCGAAAGCGUGGGGAGCAAAC
rnacentral:rRNA from 1 species